rnacentral:rRNA from 1 species
GUAAUGGCAGGUCAGCAUACUGCCGUGAAUACGUUCCCGGGCCUUGUACACACCGCCCGUCACACCAUGAGAGUUGAGAAUACCCGAAGCCCAUGUCAAAGUGGUCGAAGGUAGGCUUGAUGAUUGGGGUGAAGUCGUAACAAGGUACC